GACGAACGCUGACGGCGUGCCUAAUACAUGCAAGUGGGACGCAAGGAAACACACUGUGCUUGCACACCGUGUUUUCUUGAGUCGCGAACGGGUGAGUAACGCGUAGGUAACCUGCCUAUUAGCGGGGGAUAACUAUUGGAAACGAUAGCUAAUACCGCAUAAUAUUAAUUAUUGCAUGAUAAUUGAUUGAAAGAUGCAAGCGCAUCACUAGUAGAUGGACCUGCGUUGUAUUAGCUAGUUGGUAAGGUAAGAGCUUACCAAGGCGACGAUACAUAGCCGACCUGAGAGGGUGAUCGGCCACACUGGGACUGAGACACGGCCCAGACUCCUACGGGAGGCAGCAGUAGGGAAUCUUCGGCAAUGGACGAAAGUCUGACCGAGCAACGCCGCGUGAGUGAAGAAGGUUUUCGGAUCGUAAAGCUCUGUUGUAAGUCAAGAACGUGUGUGAGAGUGGAAAGUUCACACAGUGACGGUAGCUUACCAGAAAGGGACGGCUAACUACGU
rnacentral:rRNA from 1 species